rnacentral:rRNA from 1 species
UACGUAGGUGGCAAGCGUUGUCCGGAUUUACUGGGCGUAAAGAGCGCGCAGGCGGUCGUUCAAGUCGCGUGUGAAAGCCCCCGGCUCAACUGGGGAGGGUCACGCGAUACUGAUCGACUCGAAGGCAGGAGAGGGUAGUGGAAUUCCCGGUGUAGUGGUGAAAUGCGUAGAUAUCAGGAGGAACACCAGUGGCGAAGGCGACUACCUGGCCUGUUUCUUGACGCUGAGGCGCGAAAGCUAGGGGAGCAAACGGG